UCGAAAGGAUACGCAUGAUUCGUCUCAAUUCCGUUUCCUAAAAUACUACCUUAAAUGUACAUUUAUAUUGCCUAAACUAACAUUUAUUUAUAAAACUAAGUUAUUACAAUUAAAACACAUAGAUAAUGGCUAAUCUUAAUUGUGUUAUGGUUUAUUUAAGUCGGAAAUAAAAAGCAUGUCAUCCUAUUAAAUCGAUGAAAAAGUUAAAAUUGAGGACACCACUUGGCAUAAUUACAUGUCUGAAUACCGCGAACGAUUACAAAAAGCAUCCCCUGUGGCACUUAUAUCUCAUAAGUCGAUGUUGAAGUAAGUGAGGAACACGCAGAAGAAUCGUUGGACACAGAUGGAUCCAUUCGUUACGGAAGUGUCCAAGCAGGAGACGCGCACGUUCCUGAGAGAGCGAUUUCUGAGAAUGAUUGGCGCGUUAAACGGACAGGAGGCGGAGCUAAGCCUGUACGGGAAAUCGCGCGUGCGGGGUACGCUACGGGGAUUGGACAUCGAUGGACAGAGGGUGCAAGUAGGUGAUCUUCAAACACCGAUUGGGACACUGCCAUCGGCGUAUGUGCGAAUGAGCGACGUGAAGACAAUAACUGUGUCUGAUCUUAAAUCCGUUUGAUCAGUGUGCGGUUUUCUUCGGAAAUAGUUGUAAUAGGAAGUUGUAAACAUGCAAUGUAUUAAAUCUAAGAUCUGCGUUUGAAGAGUAAGGUGAAAUGUUUUUGGAUCGGUUUGAUAUCAUAAAAUAUCAUUAUGCACACAGGCUUCUGGACAUUUUGGUUUAGCGUUUGAUAGAGCUGAUUGUAUAUUGUAUGGAGUUCUGUUAAUGACGUCCAUUAUGAUUUUGGUUAAAUUGUUAGUUCUUCAGCCCCAUUACGUAAGAAAUUGUAUUUUAUUUGCAUACAAAAAAUAUACACAUGCCAUGUAAUACGUAGAUGCAUUCAUGCUGGAUGAAAUUAACAGUAAAAAUCUACAGAUAGUAAAACAUCCAGAAACUUGUAAUUAUAAAAAAUACAACAUUAAAACCUUUUUCGAUGAAUCUGAAUUAUAGAAACCAAACACUGAACAAAGACUUUUUGGAAAACUGUUCGCUGGACUUAUCCUGUUCUUAUCAGAGUGUCUACUAUCUGGCCUUUACUUUCUAAACGAAACGUUUUGUUUUGUAGUUGGUAUGUUAUUGUUGCGAUCAAGUAAUUGAGUAUUUUUCUAUAUUUUUUAAAUAAAUAUAACAUAUACAUUAA